UACGAAGGGGGCUAGCGUUGCUCGGAAUUACUGGGCGUAAAGGGCGCGUAGGCGGAUACUUAAGUCGGGGGUGAAAGCCCGGGGCUCAACCUCGGAAUUGCCUUCGAUACUGGGUAUCUUGAGUUCGGGAGAGGUGAGUGGAAUGCCGAGUGUAGAGGUGAAAUUCGUAGAUAUUGGGAAGAACACCGGUGGCGAAGGCGGCUCACUGGCUCAUUACUGACGCUCAGGCGCGACAGCGUGGGGAUCAAACAGG
rnacentral:rRNA from 1 species